UACGUAGGGGGCAAGCGUUAUCCGGAUUUACUGGGUGUAAAGGGUACGUAGGCGGCUUAUCAAGUCAGAUGUGAAAGCCCGGAGCUCAACUCCGGGACUGCAUUUGAAACUAGUAAGCUAGAGUACAGGAGAGGUAAGUGGAAUUCCUAGUGUAGCGGUGAAAUGCGUAGAUAUUAGGAAGAACACCAGUGGCGAAGGCGACUUACUGGACUGUAACUGACGCUGAGGUACGAAAGCGUGGGGAGCGAACAGG
rnacentral:rRNA from 1 species